GAUGGAGCAACGCCGCGUGAGUGAAGAAGGGUUUCGGCUCGUAAAACUCUGUUGUUAAAGAAGAACAUAUCUGAGAGUAACUGUUCAGGUAUUGACGGUAUUUAACCAGAAAGCCACGGCUAACUACGUGCCAGCAGCCGCGGUAAUACGUAGGUGGCAAGCGUUGUCCGGAUUUAUUGGGCGUAAAGCGAGCGCAGGCGGUUUUUUAAGUCUGAUGUGAAAGCCUUCGGCUCAACCGAAGAAGUGCAUCGGAAACUGGGAAACUUGAGUGCAGAAGAGGACAGUGGAACUCCAUGUGUAGCGGUGAAAUGCGUAGAUAUAUGGAAGAACACCAGUGGCGAAGGCGGCUGUCUGGUCUGUAACUGACGCUGAGGCUCGAAAGUAUGGGUAGCAAACAGGAUUAGAUACCCUGGUAGUCCAUACCGUAAACGAUGAAUGCUAAGUGUUGGAGGGUUUCCGCCCUUCAGUGCUGCAGCUAACGCAUUAAGCAUUCCGCCUGGGGAGUACGGCCGCAAGGCUGAAACUCAAAGGAAUUGACGGGGGCCCGCACAAGCGGUGGAGCAUGUGGUUUAAUUCGAAGCUACGCGAAGAACCUUACCAGGUCUUGACAUACUAUGCAAAUCUAAGAGAUUAGACGUUCCCUUCGGGGACAUGGAUACAGGUGGUGCAUGGUUGUCGUCAGCUCGUGUCGUGAGAUGUUGGGUUAAGUCCCGCAACGAGCGCAACCCUUAUUAUCAGUUGCCAGCAUUAAGUUGGGCACUCUGGUGAGACUGCCGGUGACAAACCAGAGGAA
rnacentral:rRNA from 2 species